rnacentral:rRNA from 1 species
GGGCCCGCACAAGCGGAGGAACAUGUGGUUUAAUUCGAUGAUACGCGAGGAACCUUACCCGGGCUCGAACGGUACAGGAAUUGCACAGAGAUGUGUAAGCUAGCAAUAGUCUGUAUCGAGGUGCUGCAUGGUUGUCGUCAGCUCGUGCCGUGAGGUGUCGGCUUAAGUGCCAUAACGAGCGCAACCCUUGUCGUUAGUUGCCAUCGAGUAAAGUCGGGAACUCUAACGAGACUGCCAGCGUAAGCUGUGAGGAAGGGGGGGAUGACGUCAAAUCAGCACGGCCCUUACGUCCGGGGCGACACACGUGUUACAAUGGGGGGUACAGAGGGGAGCUACCUGGUGACAGGAUGCGAAUCUCGAAAGCCUCUCUCAGUUCGGAUCGGAGUCUGCAACUCGACUCCGUGAAGUUGGAUUCGCUAGUAAUCGCGCAUCAGCCAUGGCG